UCUUUUCAUAUAUUUAUGGGCGGAAUUAGCCAACAAAAAGUUUUAAAUAUUGACUUUUCUUUUCUUUAUUUUUUUUCUUUUCUUUUACGGUCUGAAUUAUGGUCCAUGGGUCGUAAUUCUUACCAAAAUAUCAUAAAAAAUAUUCUACAACCAUUUCAACUCUACAAAGGAAUUAAAAAACUGAGCUCUGAUGCCCUGAUCCAGUGAUCUUCCAACCCUUGCUUGCUUGAGAUUUGCGAAGUUCUAGCUUCGCCCGGGCCUUUCACUUAUGGCCCGGCACUUCCAACCCAUGUGACAAAUUUUGAGGAGGUGGACAGUACUGAAGGAAAUGUAAACAAAGAACCGAGAUGUGGCCAUUGGAAGAUUAUGAAGGAAUGGAGAACUGAGUGGCAAUUCCAUGUAAGGAUUAUGUAUAAUUACAUAAUCCUUGUAUGAAAACAGAUUCAUUCAAUACUGAGUAUUAAAGGCCCAUCAUAGGAGUGCAAGACUGACUGGAGCCACUGGA